UUAUUUUUUUCUUAAUUUUUUAUUAUUCAUUUCCAAACCCUAAUUUUAAUUUCCCCAUUUUUUCUCCAAUUUUCCAUUAUUGAUUUGGAUCUAGGUGCUCCCUCACUUCCUCCUUAUAUAUAAGAGUCUCCAUUUCACUCUAAAUUCAAAUAAAUUUAAAUCCAUUUUUAACUUCACCUGUGUUUCAACAUUUGAUCACGAUUUAUUUUUUU
rnacentral:lncRNA from 1 species